rnacentral:rRNA from 1 species
UACGUAGGUGGCAAGCGUUGUCCGGAUUUAUUGGGUUUAAAGGGUGCGUAGGCGGUUUAAUAAGUCAGUGGUGAAAUACGGCAGCUCAACUGUAGGUGCCAUUGAUACUGUUGGACUUGAGUACAGACGAGGUAGGCGGAAUUGACGGUGUAGCGGUGAAAUGCUUAGAUAUCGUCAAGAACACCGAUAGCGAAGGCAGCUUACUAGGCUGUAACUGACGCUGAGGCACGAAAGUGUGGGGAUCAAACAGG